AAACCCAGCAUGUCCACCUAGUUCUAAAGCUCCAAAGAACAGAAGUUUAAAAGAGCACAGGUGUGUGUUUGAGCAAGAAUCUUGCAAAAGCAUUCCUGAGUGUAGCCUCAGUGUGAGGAUCUCAAACUUACUCAGCCAAGGCUGGACAAUUCAAUGGCAGGCUGCAGGUGACCUGGUCUGAGCUAAGGCAGGGGAAAGGCCAGGACCCCACAGACUCCAGGGGCCAUGGAGACCCUGUAUAGUGCAGGACAGCAUGCUGUUUGGAGUUUGCUCUGUUGGAGAUUUUCUGUGCACGUUUCCUGGACAACUUGUUCUUCUCUUCCCUGGUCCCUGGAGCCCCUGCCGACUGAGGUUUCCAGGAAUAGGCCUGUCCUCUCUUAGGCUGUGCGGGAAUGUGCAUCACCAUGGAAACGCUGGAGGUGAAAUCACUCAAGUGUUGGCAAGCGCAGUUUCUCUCUGGAGCUUGGAAAAAUGGAGAGCAGGAGAGCAGGCUCAUGGUGUCACAGAAAGGAAAGAUGCCCUUAAAACAACCCAAAUGCUCUCAAUUUCACUUGGGGCCUUUCCCUUUAAAUAAAAGCUGAAC
ensembl:lincRNA